AAAUGCAAGUCAGAGCAGGGUUAGCCGGCCCCUAAGGCGAGGCCGAAAGGCGUAGCCGAUGGGAAACGCGUCAACAUUCGCGUGCCGCUCGAAGGACGUUACGAGCCAAGGAGAGACGGGAUUCGGAUGGUCUUCGGGCGAUCAGAAAUGCCCGAUGAGGCCCGAGGGGUAGUGGCAGGCAAAUCCACCACGACAUCCCCGGAGGUCGCACGAGCCCAAUUAUGUUGGCGAAGUGACCUGAUGGGUCUCCGAGAAAAGCUUCGUGGCCAGUCCCAGGGCGACCGUACCAGAAACCGACACAGGCAGGCAAGGAGAGUAUCCUAAGGCGCUCGUGAGAACUCUCGUGAAGGAACUCGGCAAAAUUACCCCGUAACUUCGGGAUAAGGGGAGCCUCACUGGUUCAGGGUGAACAACCCAAAGGCCGGAGAGGCCGCAGAGAAUCGGCCCAAGUGACUGUUUAUCAAAAACACAGGUCUGCGCUAAGUCAGAUAGACGCUGUAUGCAGGCCGACGCGUGCUCGGUGCCGGAAGGUUAAGGUGAGGGGUCAUCCCUUCGGGGAGAAGCUCCGAGCCGAAGCCCCGGUUAACGGCGGCCGUAACUAUGACGGUCCUAAGGUAGCGAAAUUCCUUGUCGGGUAAGUUCCGACCCGCACGAAUCGCGUAACAACUUGGGCGCUGUCUCCACGAGGGACACGGCGAAAUUGUAUCGGCGGUGAAGAUGCCGCCUACCCGCAGCUAGACGGAAAGACCCCGUGAACCUUUACUGCAACCUAUUAUUGGCUCUUGAUCUGUAGUGCGUAGGAUAGGUGGGAGGCUUCGAAGCCCUGGUUCUGGCCAGGGCCGAGCCACCGGUGAAAUACCACCCUCGACAUAUUAGGAUUCUAACCGGCAGCCGUGAUCCGGCGUCGGGACAGUGAUAGGCGGGCAGUUUGGCUGGGGCGGCCUCCUCCAAAAGAGUAACGGAGGAGUCCAAAGGUUCCCUCAGUGCGGUUGCAAUCGCACGCGGAGCGUAAAGGUAUAAGGGAGCUUGACUGCGAGUGCGAUGGCACGAGCAGAUGCGAAAGCAGGGCUUAGUGAUCCGGCGUUUGCCGUGUGGAAGGGACGUCGCUCAACAGAUAAAAGGUACUCCGGGGAUAACAGGCUGAUCUUGCCCAAGAGUUCAUAUCGACGGCAAGGUUUGGCACCUCGAUGUCGGCUCAUCGCAUCCUGGGGCUGAAGGAGGUCCCAAGGGUUCGGCUGUUCGCCGAUUAAAGCGGUACGUGAGCUGGGUUCAGACCGUCGCGAGACAGGUCGGUCCCUAUCUUCUGUGGGUGUAGGACCCUUGAGGGAGUCUUUCCUUAGUACGAGAGGAUUGGGAAGGACGAACCUCUGGUGUGCGGGUUGUCCCGCUAGGGGCAUUGCCCGGUAGCCAUGUUCGGUAUGGAUAAGCGCUGAAAGCAUCUAAGCGCGAAGCCAGUCCCAAAAUUAGAGGUCCCUGAGGCUCGUCGAAGACUACGACGUUGAUAGGCCGGACGUGCAAGCACGGUGACGUGCUCAGCGAACCGGUACUAAACAGCCGAUCGGCUUGACCGU
rnacentral:rRNA from 1 species